rnacentral:rRNA from 1 species
CAUGCAAGUCGAGGGGCAGCACAGGUAGCAAUACCGGGUGGCGACCGGCGCACGGGUGAGUAACGCGUAUGCAACUUACCUAUCAGAGGGGGAUAACCCGGCGAAAGUCGGACUAAUACCGCAUGAAGCAGGGGUCCCGCAUGGGGAUAUUUGCUAAAGAUUCAUCGCUGAUAGAUAGGCAUGCGUUCCAUUAGGCAGUUGGCGGGGUAACGGCCCACCAAACCGACGAUGGAUAGGGGUUCUGAGAGGAAGGUCCCCCACAUUGGUACUGAGACACGGACCAAACUCCUACGGGAGGCAGCAGUGAGGAAUAUUGGUCAAUGGCCGAGAGGCUGAACCAGCCAAGUCGCGUGAGGGAUGAAGGUUCUAUGGAUCGUAAACCUCUUUUAUAAGGGAAUAAAGUGCGGGACGUGUCCCGUUUUGUAUGUACCUUAUGAAUAAGGAUCGGCUAACUCCGUGCCAGCAGCCGCGGUAAUACGGAGGAUCCGAGCGUUAUCCGGAUUUAUUGGGUUUAAAGGGUGCGUAGGCGGCCUUUUAAGUCAGCGGUGAAAGUCUGUGGCUCAACCAUAGAAUUGCCGUUGAAACUGGGGGGCUUGAGUAUGUUUGAGGCAGGCGGAAUGCGUGGUGUAGCGGUGAAAUGCAUAGAUAUCACGCAGAACCCCGAUUGCGAAGGCAGCCUGCCAAGCCAUUACUGACGCUGAUGCACGAAAGCGUGGGGAUCAAACAGGAUUAGAUACCCUGGUAGUCCACGCAGUAAACGAUGAUCACUAGCUGUUUGCGAUACACUGUAAGCGGCACAGCGAAAGCGUUAAGUGAUCCACCUGGGGAGUACGCCGGCAACGGUGAAACUCAAAGGAAUUGACGGGGGCCCGCACAAGCGGAGGAACAUGUGGUUUAAUUCGAUGAUACGCGAGGAACCUUACCCGGGUU